ensembl:lncRNA
GCCAGAUCGUCUGCUAACCUCAGUUAUUUCACAGCCUCAUGUUCCUGUGUAUUUAUCAGUGUGCAUUACUUAGUCUCCUAGUCGGUACCUGGACUCGUCAUUCCAAACCCUGCCAUAGCCUUGCUUCUGGAUUCAGCUGCUGCUUAAUCCUUUUCAGACAAACUGCCAUUCUCACCUGCCUGCCUCCCUGCACACCUAUAUUGGACUCAGCACUCGCCUGGACCUCACCUCGCCUCCACCUCCAGCUAAUCCCCGCCUGCAAACACUGCCCUCACCAGCCCCACUCCAGUCUCAGCAGUUUUUGUUUUCGCAAAUCACUUGGAGCUUCUGGUCUUUGGUUCUGCGCCUGAGUCCAUUCCACGCCACGGGCCUCUGAGCCCUGACAACGGUCUAAACAUCUGGAAAGUCCUGGAGGAAGAGAAUGGCUGGACUCAUCUGGAUUCUGCUUUCUGCGUGCCUCCUGGGUUGUACCUCUCAAGGCCUUCUGUCGAACUGUUUCUCUUUCAGGCCAGAAAAACGUCACAGCUGAGUCUGGAAGGAACGUCACUUUGACAUGUCAAGCUCGAAAAAACAUCCAGACUGUGGAGUGGAGAAGAGCUGACCUGGGAUCAGAAUAUGUUUUUUUGUAUCGGGAUGAGAGGAAAACUUCAGUGCACCAGCAUCCAUGUUUUAAGGACCGGGUGGAUCUAAAGGACAAACAGAUGAAGGAUGGCGACGUGUCUCUGAUUCUGAACAAUGUGACGAUUAAUGACACUGGAAGAUACGAGUGUCGUGUCGUUGAGAAAGGAACAAUUGGUUUGAAGCUCAUCAGCAUCAUCACCCUGAGUGUUGUUCCUCCAGGAUCUGUUGGACUAAUCGUUGGUGUGGUAGUUGCUGCUGCUGCCCUCGUUGUUGCUGCUGUUGCUGGAUUUGUGAUCUACAGAAACCAGAAAAAGGCAAAAGAAGUUCGUCUCAAACCUCUUGUCAUUAAACAGUCUCCUGCUGUUCCCACUUGUUGUCAGUGAACAGACACAGCUGGAACUUCACAAUGAAACUGAUUUGUGAAAUGUCACCGACAGUUAUAGGUUUUUGUUUAACUGUUGACCUAGUGUGUGAGAGCAAAGAAAACAGAAUUUUGCUGUUUUAUCAUUUAUUAUCCAGUUAUUGCUUCAUCCAGAUCACACAAUAUAAUUCUGACUAUGAAUCACUUUGAAUAAUCUCAGCAUUAUUACAAUGUUCUGCUCUUUACACUGGAUGUCUUUGCUGCAGUGUUCAAAUAUUCAACUCGAACAAAAACUCAGUGCUUCUGUUUUAAUAGCUGCUCUGAAACUUGAACUUGAUACACUUGAAGCUUUGCUGUCACACAGCCUGACGGAGACAAUGUGGAAAUCGCUUCAGCUUGUUAACAGAUUAAAGUGAAAUUAAUUAACUUGACUGACUCAACCAUCACUCUUGGUUUGUGUUCAGCAGCAGAAAUGUGAAUUUCAGAGAUCAGAAGAUUAGAAUCAACAAUAAGAACUUUUAUACAUUUUAAUAAUGUAAUGUAAAAUUGAUCUCACCAGUGUUCACCAGCUUUGUUUUGAUACCGAGAUUGUUUACAUUCCUUUUGGGUUUGUCAUUUUCAAAGAGCAAGCUCAGACAGCCUCGUUGGGGCUUAACAGGAUAAACUUUAAUCACUGAACUUUUGGAAUAGGGGUUGGGGGGAAAUUCCAUUAAUUAUAUAUGUACCAUGUGUGUUUUGGCAGUGCCAGGAGCUCUGCCAUCUACAAGUACUGUAUUGUACACAGGUAUGAAUAGACUCACGAGCCACAAAAGAUUGAAGAUUAUUAAUUUAAGGAAAAUAUGAAUCUAAUGAGGACUUAUGAGCAACUGCUGUAGUCUGCUCCUGUGACGUGUCUCUUUCAUUGCUUGUUAUUUAGAAGAAAAAUUCUUACAUGUAAAACUCGUAAUCACAAUAAAAAAGCAGAAAUGUGAAAAUCAUCUUCAUCACUGCUGUUUCUGUUUUGGUUUCUUUCUGAAGAAGAAGGUAUUUGUGCAUUUUUGAACAUCAAACAUUCAUUUCAUUGUGACACAUCUUUACCCUGCUAUAAAAAAUCUGGUAUAUAAUCAGGCUUCAUGUCAGUCAUCCACAGAAUAAAGUCCUGAUGCAUU